ensembl:snRNA U6 U6 spliceosomal RNA
UGCUCACUCCGGCAGCAAUACACUAAAACUGGAAUUAUACAGAGAAGAUAAGCAUGGCCCCAGAAGAGUGACAUACAAAUUUGCAAAAGCAUACUAUAUUUUU